GACGAACGCUGGCGGCGUGCUUAACACAUGCAAGUCGAACGGAAAGGCCCUGCUUGCAGGGUACUCGAGUGGCGAACGGGUGAGUAACACGUGGGUGAUCUGCCCUGCACUUCGGGAUAAGCCUGGGAAACUGGGUCUAAUACCGGAUAGGAGCCAUUUUUAGUGUGAUGGUUGGAAAGUUUUUUUCGGUGUAGGAUGAGCUCGCGGCCUAUCAGCUUGUUGGUGGGGUAAUGGCCUACCAAGGCGGCGACGGGUAGCCGGCCUGAGAGGGUGGACGGCCACAUUGGGACUGAGAUACGGCCCAGACGCCUACGGGAGGCAGCAGUGGGGAAUAUUGCACAAUGGGCGCAAGCCUGAUGCAGCGACGCCGCGUGGGGGAUGACGGCCUUCGGGUUGUAAACUCCUUUCGCUAGGGACGAAGCUUUUUGUGACGGUACCUAGAGAAGAAGCACCGGCUAACUACGUG
rnacentral:rRNA from 1 species